rnacentral:rRNA from 1 species
AGAGUGCGUAAUAGCUCACUAGUCGAGAGGUCCUGCGCCGAAAAUGUCCGGGGCUGAAACACAACACCGAAGCUUAGGAAUGUAGAAAUACAUUGGUAGAGGAGCAUUCUUAAAGGAAUGAAGCAGUACCGGUAAGGAGCUGUGGACUUUUAAGAAGAGAGAAUGCCGGAAUGAGUAGCGAGAUGGAGGUGGGAAUCCUCCAGGCCGAAUAUCUAAGGUUUCCAGAGUAAAGCUGAUCUGCUCUGGGUAAGUCGGGACCUAAGGCGAGGUCGAAAGACGUAGUCGAUGGAUAACAGGUUGAAAUUCCUGUACCGCAUAUAAACAGAACUGUGGGGACACAGACAGGGAAUGGAAUCCGGGAAUGGAUAUCCCGGUGCAAGCGAGGUAGGAGUGCUGUUGGCAAAUCCGCAGCACGAUCUGAAGACGUGACGCGUACCGAACAUAAGUAGGGAAGUCCAGGCCCCUGGCUGUCAAGAAAAGCCGCUAUUGUUUUAUAUGUGCCCGUACCGCAAACCGACACAGGUGGAUGAGGAGAGAAUCCUAAGGCCGACGGGAGAAGUAUUGUUAAGGAACUCGGCAAAAUGACUCCGUAACUUCGGGAGAAGGAGUGCCAUGAGAGUGGCCGCAGAGAAAUGGCCCAAGCAACUGUUUAGCAAAAACACAGGUCUAUGCAAAACCGCAAGGUGAAGUAUAUGGGCUGACGCCUGCCCGGUGCUGGAAGGUUAAGGGGAGAGGUUAGCGCAAGCGAAGCUUUGAACUUAAGCCCCAGUAAACGGCGGCCGUAACUAUAACGGUCCUAAGGUAGCGAAAUUCCUUGUCGGGUAAGUUCCGACCCGCACGAAAGGCGUAAUGAUUUGAGCGCUGUCUCGACAAUGCACCCGGUGAAAUUGAAAUACCAGUGAAGAUGCUGGUUACCUGCGCCAGGACGGAAAGACCCCAUGGAGCUUUACUCCAGUUUGAUACUGGGAUUCGGUACUGCAUGUACAGGAUAGGUGGGAGACGGAGAAGGAUGGACGCCAGUCUGUCCGGAGUCGCUGUUGGGAUACCACCCCUGUAGUACUGGGUUUCUAACCAGUCACCGUGAACCGGUGAUGGGACAAUGUCAGGCGGGGAGUUUGACUGGGGCGGUCGCCUCCGAAAGGGUAUCGGAGGCGCUCAAAGGUUCCCUCAGAAUGGUUGGAAACCAUUCGAAGAGUGCAAAGGCAGAAGGGAGCUUGACUGCGACACCGACGGGUGGAGCAGGUACGAAAGUAGGACUUAGUGAUCCGGUGGUAUGAAAGUGGGAUUGCCAUCGCUCAACGGAUAAAAGCUACCCUGGGGAUAACAGGCUUAUCACUCCCAAGAGUUCACAUCGACGGAGUGGUUUGGCACCUCGAUGUCGGCUCAUCGCAUCCUGGAGCUGUAGCAGGUUCCAAGGGUUGGGCUGUUCGCCCAUUAAAGCGGUACGCGAGCUGGGUUCAGAACGUCGUGAGACAGUUCGGUCCCUAUCCGGCG